rnacentral:rRNA from 1 species
UACGUAGGUGGCAAGCGUUGUCCGGAAUCAUUGGGCGUAAAGAGCGUGUAGGCGGCCCGGUAAGUCCGCUGUAAAAGUCAAAGGCUCAACCUUUGAAUGUCAGUGGAUACUGCCGGGCUAGAGUCCGGAAGAGGCGAGUGGAACUCCUGGUGUAGCGGUGGAAUGCGCAGAUAUCAGGAAGAACACCAACGGCGAAGGCAGCUCGCUGGGACGGUACUGACGCUGAGACGCGAAAGCGUGGGGAGCGAACAGG